rnacentral:rRNA from 1 species
UACAGAGGGUGCAAGCGUUGUUCGGAAUUAUUGGGCGUAAAGCGCGUGUAGGCGGCUUUGCAAGUCGGGUGUGAAAGCCCUCAGCUUAACUGAGGAAGUGCGCCCGAAACUGCAGAGCUUGAAUACCGGAGAGGAUGGCGGAAUUCCCCAAGUAGAGGUGAAAUUCGUAGAUAUGGGGAGGAACACCGGUGGCGAAGGCGGCCAUCUGGACUGCACCUGACGCUGAAACGCGAAAGCUAGGGGAGCGAACGGG